AGAAUCAACGCUGGCGGCGUGCCUAACACAUGCAAGUCGAACGCGAAAGCCCCGAAAGGGGUAAGUAGAGUGGCAAACGGGUGAGUAACGCGUGGGUGACCUGCCUUCGAGCGGGGGAUAACGUCCCGAAAGGGACGCUAAUACCGCAUAACAUCCUGCCUUUGAAGAGGUGGAGAUCAAAGCUGGGGAUCGCAAGACCCGGCACUUGAAGAGGGGCCCGCGUCUGAUUAGCUAGUUGGUGGGGUAAUGGCCUACCAAGGCAACGAUCAGUA
rnacentral:rRNA from 1 species